AUAAAUUAAAUUUUGAAAAUAUUAAAGGUAUAACACUGUUUUAAGAUAAUUUUGGUGAGGUAUUAGGUAGUUGGUAGAUUGAAAGCCUACCAAGCCGAUGAUCCCUAACUGGUUUGAGAAAAUGUCCAGUCACACUGGGACUGAAACAAGGCCCAGGCUUUUGCCAGCAGUGUGGAAUUUUGGACAAUGAGCUAAGGCUUGAUCCAGUAAUGCUGCUUAAAUGAGGAAGGCAUAAAAGAUAAAUUUUUAAUUUGUCGGGUGUAAAAUUUAUAAUUUUAAAAAUGAGAAUGACGUUUUUAAAAAACAAGCUCCGGCUAAUAUUCGUGCCAGCAGCCGCGGUAAAACGGAGGGAGCGAGCGUUAUCUGGAAUUAUUGGGCGUAAAGAGUUCGUAGGUGGGUUUUAUCGUUUAAAGAAAAAAGUUUUGGGUUAUACUGAACAAUUCUUAUAAUACGCUUCUUCUUGAGUUUUGCAAAGGAUAAUAGAAUUCUAUGUAUAGGGGUAAAAUCCAAAAAUAUAUAGAGGAAUGCCAGUGGCGAAAGCGAUUAUCUAGGCUUAUACUGACGCUAAGGAACGAAAGCAUAGGGAGCAAACAGGAUUUGAUACCCUGGUAGUCUAUGCUGUCAAAUAUGAGUGUUAAUAUUGAAAGAAUUUUUUUGAUAUAAAAGCUAACGCGUUAAACACUCCGCCUGGGGAGUACGGUCGCAA
rnacentral:rRNA from 1 species